ACGAGUGGCGAACGGGUGAGUAACACGUAGGAAUCUACCCAGAAGUGGGGGACAACCCGGAGAAAUCCGGGCUAAUACCGCAUACGCCCUAAGGGGUAAAGCGGGGGACCUUUUCGAAGGCCUCGCGCUUUUGGAUGAGCCUGCGUCGGAUUAGCUUGUUGGUGAGGUAAUGGCUCACCAAGGCAACGAUCCGUAGCUGGUCUGAGAGGAUGACCAGCCACACUGGGACUGAGACACGGCCCAG
rnacentral:rRNA from 1 species